rnacentral:lncRNA from 1 species
UCUAUUGAAAAAAAUUGAGUUUGAAUUAAAUAUGACGUGGUAUGACACGUGGAUUAAUUAAACAGUCAAAGAGCAAUAAAUGAUUAAAAGGCACGGAAAAUAAUAUGUACGGUGGAGGAAAAGAAAACAGACACGAGAGGGAAUUUUAGAUACGAAUCUCGUAUCUAUUCAAGUCAUUCAAUAUCAACGGAUAAAAAGGGCAUUGAAGACAAGAAU